UUUCACCCUCUGAAGCGGUUCUCGCGCUGAGUUUGAAUACCGCGGCUGGGGCCAGGAGACGGUUGAAGAGUGUGGAAGCGGAGCGGGGAAGGAGGGACGCUCGGAAUUGCACAUUUACCCAGGGUAGAAGUGCACCUCUUAUAUCCUCCUGUGAAAGUGAUGAUGAAACAUGUGAAAUUCCUUUUGACAAUGCAGCUACUAUCUAUAGCAGAUCACUAACUGAAAUGCUGCAGAAAGGUUCGAGGCUGGUGCAUGAACAAACCACAAGGGAUUAUGGGACACCAAUUGGUGAGAUCAUCAAACUUAACUGCCUGCUUUCUCAGGCUGGGGUCCGGCAUCCAUCUGCGCUAAUGAAUGUGACAUGGGAUUAAUGAAGCCCAAUUCUCUACAAAGCACCUUUAUCAGGCAAUAUUCCAAGUGAAAGCCAUAAAAGAUGUUGAAGACUAUUUUGAGAAGACAAAGAGGGCUGUUGAUGAAAGAAUUCCUGCUGGUGGUUAUCACGAGAAGGCAAAGAGGAAUUUAGAUGGCAGUGAGGACUAUGAUGAGGAUGAGGAUGAGGAUGAGGAUGAUGAUGACGAAGACGAAGAUUCCGAUAUUGAUUAUGAGGAGACAAAAAUUAAAUCUAAGCAACGUGUGUACAGAACCAGAAAAGCAUUAGAUGAAGAAAGGGAGAAAAGGGAGUAUGAAUAUUAUUCUCGUGGAAAAUUUGCCAGGGAUAUUGAUGACUAUGUGCGUUAGUUACAGCAUUAGUGGUCAUUGAUUUGUCAGAUGUUAACAAUGUACGUGUCCAUACAGUGUCUACCUAAAAUAAGUAAU